GAUGAACGCUGGUGGCGUGCCUAACACAUGCAAGUCGAGCGAUUCUCUUCGGAGAAGAGCGGCGGACGGGUGAGUAACGCGUGGGUAACCUGCCCUGUACACACGGAUAACAUACCGAAAGGUAUGCUAAUACGAGAUAACAUGCUUUUAUCGCAUGGUAGAAGUAUCAAAACUUUUGCGGUACAGGAUGGACCCGCGUCUGAUUAGCUAGUUGGUGAGGUAACGGCUCACCAAGGCGACGAUCAGUAGCCGACCUGAGAGGGUGAUCGGCCACAUUGGAACUGAGACACGGUCCAAACUCCUACGGGAGGCAGCAGUGGGGAAUAUUGCACAAUGGGCGAAAGCCUGAUGCAGCAACGCCGCGUGAGCGAUGAAGGCCUUCGGGUCGUAAAGCUCUGUCCUCAAGGAAGAUAAUGACGGUACUUGAGGAGGAAGCCCCGGCUAACUACGUG
rnacentral:rRNA from 1 species